rnacentral:lncRNA from 1 species
AAAGACAAGCUUGUAGCUGUUAUGCAUGGAAAAGAUGAGACACUUGCCAGGGUCCUCUUGAGCAUUUCAGAGGCAUAGAAAGGUUUCAUAGAUUUUUUCUGAGGCUUCGUGGCAGCUGCAGCACCCCUGCUGACAGUCCCGGCAGGACUUCUGCGACAAGGAGCAUCUAUUUUUCAGUACGUGUCUGGGCAUGGCUGCUGUUGUGGCCCACUCCCAAGCACUUUGUCCAGCCAGCUUUUGGAGAGAGGGUUUAUACAUUACUCGGUGCCAACACAGACCAAACGGUGACUAAAUCUUUCUAACUGCAAUCAAACCAGACGUUUUCUCUCUCUGCAACAACCCCACGCAGUGGCUUGGUGAAAGAACCCAGCGCUGUAGCAAUGAAUGAAGAGGCAGCA